UCUACCACGUGUUCUAAAUUGGUUAGACAUUAUACCCAUUUGAAUUGCCUUCACUCCUGAGUCUCUGAGUGUCAGGUUCAAGCUGCUGACCGACGAGGUAUGUGCUAUAUUAUAGAGAUUUCUUUAAUGAUUGGCACUAAUGAACUACACCCCCUGUGGGUAGCACUUUGAGUAAUUUCUUUGAAUUAUUCGAUCAUAGAUCAGUGAUACCGUCCAUAAAGGAUGGGUUUCCCUAAUAAACAUAUCAUGUGGGUUCACUAUACUGAUGGUUAAUACAAUUAGUCCUGGGUUUUCCAAAUAUGAAUAAAUGGCUGGUUAUAAUCAGAUCAUUUAGUAGAGGAUCGUUGUAUAGUGGUAACAUUGGUGUUUGUUAUAGCCAAUUCUGUGGCUUUGUUCUGUAUCAUAUAUAGAAACCACACGGGUUAGUCAUGAGAUCUGUUCAUUAGUGAUCAGACAUUAAUUGAUACCAGAAUUUUUAUAAUUAUGGGUGUCAAAAUAAGAUAGGGGUCUAUUUAUGAACUCGUAGGUGUUCUUAUAAUUAAUACCCAAUUAAUCAAUUUAUUAGGUUCCUUAUGCUUGCGAACCAGUUAGAUUCUAUACACAUAUGAAUCUUCCCCAUAUUCGAAUAUCUGAAUGUCAGACUCAAGCUGAUGAUAUAUGAGGUAUGUGCCGUUCCCUUGGAUUAAUCCCAAUCUCUGCCUAAUUGAACAAAAAGUGUCCUUUAAUUAAUAAAGGUUAUUAAACGUUUUUUAAUUAGGUAUGGUCCUCGCUGUAUCAAUCAAGUCCCAUUGAAAUAUUGAAACGUUGUUCAUACAUCUUUGAAUGACCUUUUAUGUGCUGACAAUAUGUUCUGAAAUGAAGAGAUUUUACCCCUGAUGAAGUCUUGGAACAAGACGAAACGCGUUGGUUUAUUUAUCUAUCUAUUAUCUGAUGUUACCUCCGAAUCUACAAUAAGGAGAAGGAGGAAAUCGUAGUGAUAUAUCUACGCUUUUUCCUCAUCACUACAAACUGAUUGUUCAAAUUGUGCGACAAAUGUAAAUGUAUCAACUCUGUAUACUUAUGAACAUUUGUGUCGGGUUUAUAUGUUGUUUUAAUAAAUUUUUAUGUUAGUA